UAUGACCAUGUCAUGUUGAAACACCAGUUCCUGUAUGAUCACCAAAGUUAAGCAAUUUUGAGUCUGGUUAGUAAUUACAAGGGUGACUGCUUAGGAAUGCUAGGUGGUGUAAG